AGAAAUUUAGGUUAAAUAGACCGGGAGCCUUCAAAGCUCCAAGUAGGCCCCAUCGCUUAAUUUCUG
rnacentral:tRNA from 1 species